CAGCCGCCGCGGGAAUACGAAGGGUGCAAGCGUUACUCGGAAUUACUGAGCGUAAAGCGUGCGUAGGUGGUGGUUUAAGUCCGUUGUGAAAGCCCUGGGCUCAACCUGGGAAUUGCAGUGGAUACUGGGUCACUAGAGUGUGGUAGAGGAUAGUGGAAUUUCCGGUGUAGCAGUGAAAUGCGUAGAGAUCGGAAGGAACAUCUGUGGCGAAGGCGACUAUCUGGGCCAACACUGACACUGAGGCACGAAAGCGUGGGGAGCAAACAGGAUUAGAUACCCGCGUAGUCCCUGUCUCUUAUAC
rnacentral:rRNA from 1 species